rnacentral:misc_RNA from 1 species
AAGGCCUCCUCCCCAUUGCCACCACCAUUCCCCUUCAACUUCCUUUUCUGAAGUUGUUUCAAAUGUGCUACUGCAUCAUGCAAUUCAACUCUGUUCGUCAUCUUCAGAGCUUCUUUCAAAGCUUUCUUAGCCUCCUCAGUUUCCCCAGCCCCCAAUAAAGCCACAGCCUUAUUGAGCUGUGCUCUCCAGUGAUUCGGCCAAACACUUAGUACCCUAGUGUACAUCUCUGAAGCACGCUGAUACCUACCCAUAUCCAUGUAAAGUCCACCUAAAUUGUACAAGGCAUCAACAUGACCAGGUUUCAA